rnacentral:lncRNA from 1 species
GCAGAUGACCACUUCCUUCUGGAGCCAGAGGGACCAGAAUUGUUGCUGGGAAUGUGGCCAGUGAGGAAUCUGGAUGCUGAAAAAUUCUGCAAAGAUGGCCAAGGAGGAAGCUGCUCUCUGAAGUUCCCUCGCCUGCUAUAUUAGUCCAUUUUCAUGAUGCUGAUAAAGACAUACCCGAGACUGGAAAGAAAAAGAGGUUUAAUUGGACUUACAGUUCCACAUGGCUGGGGAGGCCUCAGAAUCAUGGCAGGAGGUGAAAGGCACUUCUUACACGGCAGCAGCAAGAGAAAAAUGAGGAAGAUGCAAAAGCAGAAACACCUGAUAAACCCAUCAGAUCUCAUGAGACUUAUUCACUACCAAGAGAACAGUAUGGGGGAAACUGCCCCCAUGAUUCAACUAUCUCCCAUCAGGUCCCUCCAACAACACCUGAGAAUUAUGGGCGUACAAUUCAAGAUGAGAUUUGGGUGGGGACACAGAGCCAAACCAUAUCAUCUGCCUAAUGUCCAGAGCCACCAAAGAAGAAAAGAGUUACUUCCAAUCCCUUCCCGGAGUCUUCAUUAACUGAACUCAUAUCACAGGAAGAAAGACUGAAGUCUAACAGACUUGGACAGACUUGACACAAACCAUGGUCUGCUCUGUGGGCCCAACAGACUUUGUCCCAGGUCACUGUAUGUUCUUCAAGCCCAUUGAAUUCCCCUAAAAAUCAUUUACUGCCCCUCUAAAAUCAUCCACACUCCCCCAUCUCCCUUUCUCCUAAGAAAAAGGGUAUACAACCAUCCGUACCCCUUUGUGAGGCAGACAUAAGAUAAUCCCUUUGUGAUCCCCCCCAAUGCAUGUUAAUAAAUUUAUAUGCCAUUUCUCCCAU